CUCCGUAGUGUUUUACUACAUAUUGAAUUGCAAAUUCAAAGAAGCAGCUUCAAUUCUGCCGGGGCUU
rnacentral:tRNA from 1 species